GAGCCCCGGGACCGGCUCGCCGCCGCCCGCCCAUGCCCAAGGGGCGCUGUCCCGGCGGGGGCCCUGGCCCGCGUCCCUCCCGCGGCCGGACCCCAAAGGCUGACAAACAAUAAACAAAAGUACAUUGAAUGUGCUAGCUGGGGAUACAGAGAAUAAGAUAUUAUCCCUGCCUCUAAGAAGCUUUCAGUCCCAUGGCAGAGACAAGACAUAAAGGACUGCAGUGAGGCUAUGUUAGAGACUGAACUUCAGUGAAAAAGACCAGGACAAUGCCCUAGGAGACAAGAGAGCAGCAAG